AUUGCUCGUCGGCCUUUUGGCUAAGAUCAAGUGUAGUAUCUGUUCUUAUCAAUUUAAUAUCUGAUACUUCCUCUAUCUGAGGACAAUGUAUUAAAUGGAUUUUUGGAAGUAGGAGUUGGAAUAGGAGCUUGCUCCGUCCACUCCACGCAUCGACCUGGUAUUGCAGUACCUCCAGGAACGGUGCACCCCCU
ensembl:snRNA Gm25202 predicted gene, 25202